UGCUGGGCUGCGUCUGGGAUCAUUUCCCCCUGAAUCUGGGUGUCAACUUGCUGCUAGAGGAGUGAGUGUUGUGAAGCCACAGACUCCCCACCUCUCCUACUGGGUGAUCAGUUUGGAUGCUUUUGGCCAGGAGCGGCCAGUUAAGCUGCAGUGGAACCUACCAGCUGUUUUGUCCUUCCGGGUUGCUGCCACGACCAGUGUUGGC